rnacentral:rRNA from 1 species
ACAACUUUCGGCAACGGAUCUCUUGGCUCUCCCAUCGAUGAAGAACGCAGCGAAAUGCGAUAUGUAAUGUGAAUUGCAGAAUUCAGUGAAUCAUCGAAUCUUUGAACGCACCUUGCGCCCUCUGGUAUUCCGGAGGGCAUGCCUGUUUGAGUGUCAUUAA